GGCCUAGGGCGAUCUGGCUGCGACAUCUGUCACCCCAUUGAUCGCCAGGCUUGAUUCGGCUGAUCUGGCUGGCUAGGCGGGUGUCCCCUUCCUCCCUCACCGCUCCAUGUGCGUUCCUCCCGAAGCUGCGCGCUCCGUCGAAGAGGACGACCAUCCCCGCUAGAGGAGGACCGGUCUUCGGUCAAGGGUAUACGAGUAGCUGCGUUCCCCUGCUAGAACCUCCAAACAAGCUCUCAAACUCCACAUUCUUUUCUCUACACCAGGAGUGGCAAACCAUGGUCCAACGGCCACCACUUGUUUUUGUAAAUAAAUUUUUAUUAGAACACAGU
rnacentral:sRNA from 1 species